rnacentral:rRNA from 1 species
GACGAACGCUGGCGGCGUGCUUAACACAUGCAAGUCGAACGGAAAGGCCCUGCUUGCAGGGUACUCGAGUGGCGAACGGGUGAGUAACACGUGGGUGAUCUGCCCUGCACUUCGGGAUAAGCUUGGGAAACUGGGUCUAAUACCGGAUAGGAGCCAUCUUUAGUGUGGUGGUUGGAAAGUUUUUUCGGUGUAGGAUGAGCUCGCGGCCUAUCAGCUUGUUGGUGGGGUAAUGGCCUACCAAGGCGGCGACGGGUAGCCGGCCUGAGAGGGUGUACGGCCACAUUGGGACUGAGAUACGGCCCAGACUCCGACGGGAGGCAGCAGGGGGGAAUAUUGCACAAUGGGCGCAAGCCUGAUGCAGCGACGCCGCGUGGGGGAUGAAGGCCUUCGGGUUGUAAACUCCUUUCGCUAGGGACGAAGCUUUGUUGUGACGGUACCUAGAUAAGAAGCACCGGCUAACUACGUG